UGCGUAGGCGGACUAAUAAGUCAGUGGUGAAAUCUCUCGGCUCAACCGGGAAACUGCCAUUGAUACUGUUAGUCUUGAGUUCGGUUGAGGUAGGCGGAAUGUGUAAUGUAGCGGUGAAAUGUUUAGAUAUUACACAGAACACCAAUUGCGUAGGCAGCUUACUAGACCGACACUGACGCUGAGGCACGAAAGCGUGGGUAGCCAACAGGAUUAGAUACCCUGGUAGUCC
rnacentral:rRNA from 1 species